rnacentral:lncRNA from 1 species
CCCAUUGCCAUGCACUCACGUGCCCCUUUUUUUCUUUCUUUUUGUUUUGUGUGAGCCACUAGUUGGGCCGUAAAUGGACUUUGGGCUCGGACUUUGGGUUUUAGGCUUGAUCUUGAACUUGGUGUUUGAUUAAAUUUUUAUAAUUGAUGACUCCUGAAAAAAAACAUAAAAAAUAUCAAAUUCAAAAUAAUAGAGAUUAAAUAUCA